rnacentral:rRNA from 1 species
AUGAACGCUGGCGGCGUGCCUAAUACAUGCAAGUCGAGCGAACAGAUAAGGAGCUUGCUCCUUUGACGUUAGCGGCGGACGGGUGAGUAACACGUGGGUAACCUACCUAUAAGACUGGGAUAACUUCGGGAAACCGGAGCUAAUACCGGAUAACAUUUGGAACCGCAUGGUUCUAAAGUGAAAGAUGGUUUUGCUAUCACUUAUAGAUGGACCCGCGCCGUAUUAGCUAGUUGGUAAGGUAACGGCUUACCAAGGCGACGAUACGUAGCCGACCUGAGAGGGUGAUCGGCCACACUGGAACUGAGACACGGGCCAGACUCCUACGGGAGGCAGCAGUAGGGAAUCUUCCGCAAUGGGCGAAAGCCUGACGGAGCAACGCCGCGUGAGUGAUGAAGGGUUUCGGCUCGUAAAACUCUGUUAUUAGGGAAGAACAAACGUGUAAGUAACUGUGCACGUCUUGACGGUACCUAAUCAGAAAGCCACGGCUAACUACGUGC